CUGCAGUCGAGCGGAUGAGGAGAGCUUGCUCUCUGAUUCAGCGGCGGACGGGUGAGUAAUGCCUAGGAAUCUGCCUGGUAGUGGGGGACAACGUUUCGAAAGGAACGCUAAUACCGCAUACGUCCUACGGGAGAAAGUGGGGGAUCUUCGGACCUCACGCUAUCAGAUGAGCCUAGGUCGGAUUAGCUAGUUGGUGGGGUAACGGCUCACCAAGGCGACGAUCCGUAACUGGUCUGAGAGGAUGAUCAGUCACACUGGAACUGAGACACGGUCCAGACUCCUACGGGAGGCAGCAGUGGGGAAUAUUGGACAAUGGGCGAAAGCCUGAUCCAGCCAUGCCGCGUGUGUGAAGAAGGCCCUCGGGUCGUAAAGCACUUUAAGCUGGGAGGAAGGGUUGUAACCUAAUACGUUGCAAUUUUGACGUUACCAGCAGAAUAAGCACCGGCUAACUCUGUGCCAGCAGCCGCGGUAAUACAGAGGGUGCAAGCGUUAAUCGGAAUUACUGGGCGUAAAGCGCGCGUAGGUGGCUUGGUAAGUUGAAUGUGAAAUCCCCGGGCUCAACCUGGGAACUGCAUCCAAAACUGCCUGGCUAGAGUACGGUAGAGGGUGGGUGGAAUUUCCUGUGUAGCGGUGAAAUGCGUAGAUUAUAGAAAGGAACCACCAGUGGCGAAGGCCGACCCACCUGGACUGAUACUGACCACUGGAGGUGGCGAAAGCCGUGGGGGAGCAAACAGGAUUAAGAUACCCUGGGUAGUUCACGCCGUAAACGAUGGUCCAACUAGCGGUUGGGGUCCUUGAAGACUUUAGGUGGCCGCAGCUUAACGCAUUAAGUUGACCAAAACAAGGAUUAGAUACCUUGUAGUUCACGCCGUAAACGAUGUUCAACUAGCCGUUGGGGUCCUUGAGGACUUUAGUGGCGCAGCUAACGCAAUAAAGUUGACCGCCUGGGGAGUACGGCCGCAAGGUUAAAACUCAAAUGAAUUGACGGGGGCCCGCACAAGCGGUGGAGCAUGUGGUUUAAUUCGAAGCAACGCGAAGAACCUUACCAGGCCUUGACAUGCAGAGAACUUUCCAGAGAUGGAUUGGUGCCUUCGGGAACUCUGACACAGGUGCUGCAUGGCUGUCGUCAGCUCGUGUCGUGAGAUGUUGGGUUAAGUCCCGUAACGAGCGCAACCCUUGUCCUUAGUUACCAGCACAUCAUGGUGGGCACUCUAAGGAGACUGCCGGUGACAAACCGGAGGAAGGUGGGGAUGACGUCAAGUCAUCAUGGCCCUUACGGCCUGGGCUACACACGUGCUACAAUGGUCGGUACAAAGGGUUGCCAAACCGCGAGGUGGAGCUAAUCCCAUAAAACCGAUCGUAGUCCGGAUCGCAGUCUGCAACUCGACUGCGUGAAGUCGGAAUCGCUAGUAAUCGUGAAUCAGAACGUCACGGUGAAUACGUUCCCGGGCCUUGUACACACCGCCCGUCACACCAUGGGAGUGGGUUGCACCAGAAGUAGCUAGUCUAACGUCGGAGGACGGUA
rnacentral:rRNA from 1 species